rnacentral:rRNA from 1 species
AUGGAGGAGCGAGCUAAGUUGUUGGAAUGGGAGAAGCACUUGUUCUUCUUGGACACAUCUUUAUUCAAUGAUGCGCAAAAGGAAUAUGUUAACCUUGCCCGUGAAGAAGUCUUGAUCCAAAAAAGAGCCAUGAUCCGCACAAUGGGUGGCGGUGGCCUCGGCGCCAUGGGUGGCGGUGGCCUCGGCGCCAUGGGAGGCAUGGGUGGCUUGGGAGCCAUGGGAGGCAUGGGUGCACCUCCGGCCGCCAUGGGAGGCAUGAGUGGCUUUGGAGCACCCUCCGACGCUAUGGCCGCCAUGGGAGGCAUGAGUUUUGCUUCUCUCAUGGGAGGCAUGGGUGCACCUCCGGCCAUGGGUGGAAUGUCUUUCGAUUCUAACAGUAACACACCAUAUCCCGGCCCCUCCCACUGCGCGCGCAUUGCUGUAGGCACGAGGCUGGAGCUCCUCGUCCUCCUCUCCACGACCGGCAGCUUUCUUCUCGGCCUGGCGGCGGUGGCCGCCGGUGGCCUGGCUGGCCCAAACUACCCGACGUUUAGGCUGGCCAACCAGUUGAGUCCCGCGGUUGAUAUGAUUGCUGAUCCCAUCCGUGCAAGCCCUGUACAUGUCUUCUCUGAUGAUAUCGCACUUUUGUCCAGGUUCAUGUGGUGGAAUGCGGGCGACGGGGAGCUCACCAACGUCGAGCUCCUCGUCCUCAGCGCCGUGGAGUGGGUCGUCGCGUGUUUCACCUUCGGCUCAGCGUGUGCCGCCCUCGCCGUGGACCAGUUCGCCAUCCAGCACAGCUACUGCGGCCCGAGGGCCGCCGUUUGCUCAGUGUACCUUGUCGCCGCCGCGAUCUCAUGCGCCGCCGGGGCUCUCGCUGCCGUGUCCGCACUCGGGAUGCUAUGGAUCCUCGCCUCCCGGUUCCGCCCCGCUCACGCGGCCUAG